GAUGAACGCUGGCGGCGUGCCUAAUACAUGCAAGUCGAACGAACAGACGAGGAGCUUGCUCCUCUGACGUUAGCGGCGGACGGGUGAGUAACACGUGGAUAACCUACCUAUAAGACUGGGAUAACUUCGGGAAACCGGAGCUAAUACCGGAUAAUAUAUUGAACCGCAUGGUUCAAUAGUGAAAGACGGUUUUGCUGUCACUUAUAGAUGGAUCCGCGCCGCAUUAGCUAGUUGGUAAGGUAACGGCUUACCAAGGCGACGAUGCGUAGCCGACCUGAGAGGGUGAUCGGCCACACUGGAACUGAGACACGGUCCAGACUCCUACGGGAGGCAGCAGUAGGGAAUCUUCCGCAAUGGGCGAAAGCCUGACGGAGCAACGCCGCGUGAGUGAUGAAGGUCUUCGGAUCGUAAAGCUCUGUUAUUAGGGAAGAACAAAUGUGUAAGUAACUAUGCACGUCUUGACGGUACCUAAUCAGAAAGCCACGGCUAACUACGUG
rnacentral:rRNA from 1 species